UACAGAGGGUGCGAGCGUUGUCCGGAAUCACUGGGCGUAAAGGGCGCGUAGGCGGCCUGAUAAGUAGGGGGUGAAAUCCUGCAGCUUAACUGCAGGGCUGCCUCCUAAACUGUUGGGCUAGAGCACGGUAGAGGCAGAUGGAAUUCCCGGUGUAGCGGUGGAAUGCGUAGAGAUCGGGAAGAACAUCAGUGGCGAAGGCGGUCUGCUGGGCCGUUGCUGACGCUGAGGCGCGACAGCGUGGGGAGCAAACAGG
rnacentral:rRNA from 1 species